UGAGGAAUAUUGGUCAAUGGACGAGAGUCUGAACCAGCCAAGUAGCGUGCAGGAUGACGGCCCUAUGGGUUGUAAACUGCUUUUGUUUGGGAAUAAUCGACAUUACGUGUAAUGUUUUGCAUGUACCAUUCGAAUAAGGACCGGCUAAUUCCGUGCCAGCAGCCGCGGUAAUACGGAAGGUCUAGGCGUUAUCCGGAUUUAUUGGGUUUAAAGGGAGUGUAGGCGGUUGGUUAAGCGUGUUGUGAAAUGUAGAUGCUCAACAUCUGACUUGCAGCGCGAACUGGCUGACUUGAGUACACACAACGUAGGCGGAAUUCAUGGUGUAGCGGUGAAAUGCUUAGAUAUCAUGACGAACUCCGAUUGCGAAGGCAGCUUACGGGAGCGCAACUGACGCUAAAGCUCGAAGGUGCGGGUAUCGAACAGG
rnacentral:rRNA from 1 species